UACGUAGGGUGCGAGCGUUGUCCGGAAUUAUUGGGCGUAAAGAGCUCGUAGGCGGUGUGUCGCGUCGGUCGUGAAAACUUGGGGCUUAACCCUGAGCUUGCGGUCGAUACGGGCAUCACUGGAGUUCGGCAGGGGAGACUGGAAUUCCUGGUGUAGCGGUGAAAUGCGCAGAUAUCAGGAGGAACACCGGUGGCGAAGGCGGGUCUCUGGGCCGAUACUGACGCUGAGGAGCGAAAGCGUGGGGAGCAAACAGG
rnacentral:rRNA from 1 species